UUAAGUUCAUUAAGAAGUCGGUCAGUCGUCACUGAAAUGUAAUUUAAGAUGUUCUCAACUAGGCGUGUCGUUUUUUAGUCGUUUCAUCCGCAGCUAUUGAGAACCUCUACUUUUCGCGCGCCCAUUUAAAUUAGGAGCUCGCAGUCUACACUUAUUGCGUCUAUGAUCUUCGCAACAAGGCGCCUGCCACUUAUUAACGGUCGAGCGUUGAAGCAUCAGUGCCGUAGACAUCAGUCUAUCGUUUGAACGUGGGGGUUAUAUUGAGCGCAUCAAGAAAAAUAGAAGAUUUUGCUUGAGCCGCCAGCAAGGAAUUAU